rnacentral:tRNA from 1 species
UCCCUGGUAGUCUACUGGUUAGGAUUCAGCACUUUCACUGCUGUGAACUGAGUUCAAUUCCUAGUCUAGGAA